rnacentral:rRNA from 1 species
GAUUUGGCGGACGGGUGAGUAACACGUGGGCAACCUACCUUAUAGUUUGGGAUAACUCCGGGAAACCGGGGCUAAUACCGAAUAAUCUCUUUUACUUCAUGGUGAAAGACUGAAAGACGGUUUCGGCUGUCGCUAUAGGAUGGGCCCGCGGCGCAUUAGCUAGUUGGUGAGGUAACGGCUCACCAAGGCGACGAUGCGUAGCCGACCUGAGAGGGUGAUCGGCCACACUGGGACUGAGACACGGCCCAGACUCCUACGGGAGGCAGCAGUAGGGAAUCUUCCACAAUGGGCGAAAGCCUGAUGGAGCAACGCCGCGUGAGUGAAGAAGGUUUUCGGAUCGUAAAACUCUGUUGUAAGGGAAGAACAAGUACAGUAGUAACUGGCUGUACCUUGACGGUACCUUAUUAGAAAGCCACGGCUAACUACGUGCCAGCAGCCGCGGUAAUAAU